rnacentral:rRNA from 1 species
CCUACGGGAGGCAGCAGUGGGGAAUAUUGCGCAAUGGGCGAAAGCCUGACGCAGCGACGCCGCGUGAGGGAUGAAGGUCUUCGGAUCGUAAACCUCUGUCAGCAGGGAAGAACGGUCACUGUGCUAAUCAGCAGUGAAUUGACGGUACCUGCAAAGGAAGCACCGGCUAACUCCGUGCCAGCAGCCGCGGUAAUACGGAGGAUCCGAGCGGUAUCCGGUUUUAUUGGGUUUAAAGGGUGCGUAGGCGGUCCGGAAAGUCAGCGGUAAAAGCCCGGGGCUCAACCCCGGCGAGCCGUUGAAACUGUCGGACUAGAGACGGCGUGAGGUACGCGGAAUGCGCGGUGUAGCGGUGAAAUGCAUAGAUAUCGCGCAGAACUCCGAUUGCGAAGGCAGCGUACCGGCGCCGGACUGACGCUGAGGCACGAAAGCGUGGGUAUCGAACAGGAUUAGAUACCCCUGUAGUC